GGGGCGCUGGUCGGUGCGCGGGCUGGGACGCUAAGUCAUGAGGGAUUAAACUGGGAAACCUGGCGUGGGUCCAGGCGCCUUCCAGGAGGCAUCCGGCGCGGCCCGGACGUGUUUCUACCCGGAACCACCUCCUCCAGGCCGGGGUGCCGUUAACGGGGCUAUACAAAGAGUCUGACACUGUUAUUGCCCACUCUGAACUCGUCAACUGAGAAGGAAUGAGA
rnacentral:lncRNA from 1 species